GUGGGGAAUCUUCCGCAAUGGACGAAAGUCUGACGGAGCAACGCCGCGUGAGUGAUGAAGGUCUUCGGAUUGUAAAGCUCUGUUAAUCGGGACGAAAGAGCCUAGUGUGAAUAAUGCUAGGAAGUGACGGUACCGGAAUAGAAAGCCACGGCUAACUACGUGCCAGCAGCCGCGGUAAUACGUAGGUGGCAAGCGUUGUCCGGAAUUAUUGGGCGUAAAGCGCGCGCAGGCGGAUCUGCCAGUCUGUCUUAAAAGUUCGGGGCUUAAACCCGUGAUGGGAUGGAAACUACAGAUCUAGAGUAUCGGAGAGGAAAGUGGAAUUCCUAGUGUAGCGGUGAAAUGCGUAGAGAUUUGGAAGAACACCAGUGGCGAAGGCGACUUUCUGGACGAUGUCUGACGCUGAGGCGCGAAAGCUAGGGGAGCGAACGGGAUUAGAAACCCCGGUAGUCC
rnacentral:rRNA from 1 species